UACAGAGGGUGCUAGCGUUGUUCGGAAUCAUUGGGCGUAAAGGGCGUGUAGGCGGUUUGUUAAGUCAUGUGUGAAAUCCCUCGGCUCAACCGGGGAACGACGCAUGAAACUGGCAAGCUAGAGUACCAAAGAGGGGGGUGGAAUUCCCGGUGUAGCGGUGAAAUGCGCAGAGAUCGGGAGGAACACCCGUAGCGAAGGCGGCGCUCUGGGCCGGUACUGACGCUGAGGCACGAAAGCGUGGGGAGCAAACAGG
rnacentral:rRNA from 1 species